UGUGGUGGCGAUAGCGAGAAGGAUACACCUGUAACCAUGCCGAACACAGAAGUUAAGCUUCUUAGCGCCGAUUGUAGUG
rnacentral:rRNA from 1 species